rnacentral:rRNA from 1 species
AACGAACGCUGGCGGCAUGCCUAACACAUGCAAGUCGAACGAGACCUUCGGGUCUAGUGGCGCACGGGUGCGUAACGCGUGGGAACCUGCCCUUAGGUUCGGAAUAACUCCCCGAAAGGGGUGCUAAUACCGGAUAAUGUCUUCGGACCAAAGAUUUAUCGCCUUUGGAUGGGCCCGCGUUGGAUUAGCUAGUUGGUAGGGUAAAAGCCUACCAAGGCGACGAUCCAUAGCUGGUCUGAGAGGAUGAUCAGCCACACUGGGACUGAGACACGGCUCAGACUCCUACGGGAGGCAGCAGUGGGGAAUAUUGGACAAUGGGCGAAAGCCUGAUCCAGCAAUGCCGCGUGAGUGAUGAAGGCCUUAGGGUUGCAAAGCUCUUUUACCCGGGAUGAUAAUGACAGUACCGGGAGAAUAAGCUCCGGCUAACUCCGUG